AUUUAACAAAUAACAAUAUUCAAUAUCAACGUUUAAUAUUGUGUAAAUACAAUUACAAAAUAGUUAUAAAAUAUUAAGUCGUACAUAGUAAUAAAAUAAAACAACAGUUUCCAUUAGUUGUUUAGAUGGAAUUUUAAGUCCACCUCUAGAAAUAUGUUCGAUCCAAGAAGAAUCAUCUCCAUCUGUAUUAAUUAAAUGUGGGUAUUUAUUACAAAAUUUAUUUGUGACAUACCCAGCUACAUAUUUAGCAGCUUCGUACUCAAGUUGGUCAAAUGAAUUACUAGAAUCAACCUGUGUAGGUCAAGCCCUUCUGGUUGAAUUAGUGUUGUAUCUUCUUCUAACUCCAAUAUGACAUCAUCAGAUUUAGGAAUGAUUUCAGAGCAUUGAAUAAUUUGGCUAGUUAAACAUUCGUUUUCACUUAAGAGGUUUAUUUCAUUUCCACACUCAGAGUUUGUAUUAUUGGUGAAAAUGCAAUUGGAAUGUUUCCCAAGAAUAUACCAGCGAAGACUGAAAAUCAUCUUAGAAAUGAACUCGUUCAUUUCUAAAAGAAGAUUUUUUUGGUUUAUAAUGUCAAGUCCAAAACUUGGUCUUCCAUGGUCAUAUUUGUGUGAAGAAUUAUGUAAAUCGAACCAAUCAUUAAAUAAUUGGAUCAUUUUUGAUGCCUAAAAAAUAAUAAAGUAUUAAAAUGUCCAUUUUGUCCUGCAUAUGAUAUGGCUUUAGCAACUGAAUUUGAAAAAACGUGUGCUGAAAGUUUCACAUUCAUCCUGGAAGUUCCCUCAACCAAAAGAUGACGUUCACUAAGUUUAUGUGCAAUUUUAUAAUCGUUUCCACUAUUUAUAUUAAUUAAUUCUUGAAGAAUAUUUUUACCAACAAACUUUUCAUCAGAUAAAAUAUAUCCUCUAAAAAAUAUUACAUUAAAGUCUCAUAAUAUGAUUGUAUAAUUGUUAAAUAAUGUCUUACUGGUCAAUAAAAUGAUUCCUAGCUAACUUUAACAGAUGAGGAACAUCUGCAAACACAUAUACAUUUUUGCUUGUUGCAGGAUGAGGAAAAGAUACAUUAUUAAUGGAGAUAUUUAAGUCUCUCCAUAGACCCAUGUUAGUUGCACCCAUGUCAUUUACUAUGGCAAUAACAUUGUACCCUACGUCAUAUAACUCCUGUAUUAUUUUAAGUAACAGUUCUGGUUUCAUUGGUACAUCAUAAUCAUAAAAAACUGGUUGUUUCCACUUUGCGAAAAGACCUAACAUAAAUAUUGUAUUGUAUUGUAUAAGUAUUGUAGUAUAUAUUUAUUGUAUUAUACCUAAAAGUUGAAUACUAAAACUUACUUCUUAUCAUAGCAACUUGUACACAUCUAUGAGGGCCCAGGAACUGUUCGUUUUUUUUGUCGUAGCAAAUUCUUUUUGAUACAUAUGUUUCAUCAAAUGAUAAAACACAUAAUUUUUCAAGUGUACUUAAUUGUUCGCCUGUUAAUUUUAUUUUGGCAUU